UGCUAUGUGCAAAUGUUUUACAGGGUGGAGUAAGUCUUACCAGCUGUUGUAUGCUGAAUUUGUUCCCUCCUUAGUUACUUUGCAGGCCUGGAUUGCAU